GCCAGUUUUAUCAAGUCCCAGACCUGCAGUAAUUACAAAUUUAAGUAACCAGCUUGUGAAAUAAAAUAAUCCAAGAAUUUGAAUCCUAACUAUUUCAAUGAUUUCUAAACCUAAAGGCAUUAAGACCUUCAGUUUCAUUUCUUUAUAUCCUCAACUGAUUGGAAGAAUAAACUAGAAGAAUCCCACUAGUUUAGUUUUCAA
rnacentral:misc_RNA from 1 species